AUGUGUCAUUGUCUAAGGUUCUGCAAGCUGUAAAAUGUAUAACAAAUACAAUAUUUUCUUUUUGUUUUGUUUUAUUGUGUUUGCAUGUCGGGU